rnacentral:rRNA from 1 species
UACGUAGGGUGCAAGCGUUGUCCGGAUUUAUUGGGCGUAAAGAGCUCGUAGGCGGUCUGUCGCGUCGGAUGUGAAAACCCAGGGCUCAACCCUGGGCCUGCAUUCGAUACGGGCAGACUAGAGUGUGGCAGGGGAGACUGGAAUUCCUGGUGUAGCGGUGAAAUGCGCAGAUAUCAGGAGGAACACCGGGGGCGAAGGCGGGUCUCUGGGCCAAUACUGACGCUGAGGAGCGAAAGCGUGGGGAGCGAACAGG